rnacentral:tRNA from 4 species
GGCCCAAUGGUCUAGUAGUAUGAUUCGCGCUUCGGGUGCGCGAGGUCCCGGGUUCAAUUCCCGGUUGGGCCC